rfam:Hymenolepis diminuta genome assembly, scaffold: HDID_contig0000127
CUGAGUAAUAUAUUUAAUACAUAAUUCUCUUUACAGGUAUGAUCGUGGGAGCCAUGUGCGCGAUAACUGGUGUGCUAACUAUCUCCUUACCCGUGCCAGUCAUUGUUUCCAAU